CGGGUCCACAGCCGGGCGCGGCGUUCGCUCGCGGUGCGGACGCGGGCCGGUCGCGGCACGGCGAGCCGCUCCGCGCGGCCGAGCGCGG
rnacentral:tRNA from 1 species